GAAGCAAUAACAAAUAAUAACCAGAGUUCUGGUGUUUGAUCUGCACCCGAGUUCAGGUGACCUUCCACACCGUCCCAAACCAACCGGACUAUUCAUAGUGGAGGUAUGUUGACGACAGUAAAGUUAUUAGUGUAAGUUAGCUCACCUAAACAACCGCGUCUGAGUGAGACAGGAAGACAGCCGUUCCCGAGAUGACGUUAUCUUUUGCCUUCUGUAGAAGUGGUGAACUUACAGCUUGCAGCAGUUUGACAAGAUAUAGUGUGUAGCUUUGGUUUGAUAUCUAGUGUUGGCCAAAUCACUUUUUAUUGAGUUUCCUGUUAGUGAAAUGCUCUGAGUGAAUUUAAGCUGGGCUUUUAUUCUGAAGGGUAGACACUGAAAAGCCAGCGUUAUGGUAGUGUUUGUUUUUACCUUUAUAUGUAUUCACAGUUUAAUAUAAUGCUGUUUUCUCCAAACUACUCCAAGGUCAUUUUUUAGCUAGGAAGGAAAUGGAACAGUUUUACAGCCACUGCUUUGAGUUUGCAGACUGUUCUUUUAGGUGUGUGUGGAUGUGAGGAGACAGCAGCUUCUGAAUAUCUCUGCAUGCUUUGAUUUGUACUGAACAGAAUCCAGAGUGAGUCCAGCAGCCACAUUGGAGAUAUGCUCGAUUUAAGGGCCAGAGUGGAAUGGAGGGAAUGGAGGAGGACAACCAGAACCCGGAGCAGCAGAGCAACAAGGUCCCCAGAAGACAAGCAGCGGACUCGGACUCUGAUAGCAGCCAUGUUCAGACAUGUAUUCUGUGGACAAAGAGGAUCCCUCUUCUGGGGAGGAAGAGGAGGAAUGUGAGGAGAGCCAACAGAUAGCCUAAGCUACAGAUCUAAGGGAAGAAAGCAAAUCUCUCAGGGAUCUGUGUGCUCCACCGGACAGUUUGACAGGAAGCGCUCAUCUCAGCCGUCACCACGGAGACAAAGAGGAGGCCAAAGAAAGAGAGGAUGUAAAAGGAGGAUGACAAAAGAACAGGGCUCCAAUGGAGACAGUGUAUAAGUGUGGAACAGUGUUGCAUUGCACACAUAUGGGCCAUGUGUGUGUGCCUGCAUGGGUGUGUGUUAUUUGGGUCUUUGAGUGUGUGCAUGCAUGCGACAAAAGAGUUGAAUGUGAGAGAGAGAGAGAGAGAGGAAAACAGAUAGACAUUGAAGAAGGUUAGAAUAUUAAUGAGCAGGUAUAUGGAAAAGUUUAACCUGAAAUCAUGUCUGGCCAGGGCUGAAAUUCCAGUCAGCCAAGGAUAAUGCACAAGAAAUAUGAGAACUGCAUUUUCUCAAGCAAAUACAUGGGUUAUUUUAUUUAUUUCAGGAUUCAACAGCAUUCUGGGACUUUAGGUCAUUUUUCCAUAAAACUAUAUCCAUGUGUGAAAAAUGUGAUUUUGAAUCCCUUUCAUUCACAUCAUGUACAGGGCAUGCCACAUAAUGAUACUGGUCCUAAAACACACAUGUCAAGAACAAUUGGAAAGAGCGGAUGAUGCACACAGCUGAAGAUGAGAUAAAAUAACAUUAAACCAUCUUACGCAUACUUUACAAACAUGUAAGAUUCUAUUUUAUCUGUAGUGUGAUGGUCAAAGAGCCAAAAAGUUGUAGGGCCGUUAUGAGGUUAUUUUAUAUUAUGUCUCACACAGUUUGACCAGACAUUGUGAAUAAAGUCCAGAGGCUAUUGUAUAUGAUACACAGAUAUGCUGCACUAUAUUACAUGAUAUACUACAGUGUGAUAAGUAUACAGUAAACAGUUAUAUUGCAGAGCCAAUCCCUAUUGGAAUUUUAACCAAGGAACUGUAGGGCUGCUUCCAAAGUUAGUACACAACAGUGUAUAUGACACAUGCCUGUGGUGUGGGAGACCUGGGUUCGAUUCCCACUGCGAUACAUCAACCAAUGUGUCCCUGAGCAAGGCACUUAACCCCUAGUUGCUCCAGAGGCGUGCGACCUCUGACACACACAUAUAGCAAUUGUAAGUCACUUUGGAUGAAAUCGUCAGCUAAGUGACAUGUAAUGUAAGAUAACAUACGAUAAAAUAGACUUUGUUAAUCCCACACUGGGGGAAAUUCCUGUUCUACAGCAGCUCAAAAGAAAAAUGUACACACAUCAGAACAACACAAAUUCACAUUAAUUAGACAUAGGAGAAAAAAUAUACAUAAACUAUAGGAA